rnacentral:rRNA from 1 species
GACGAACGCUGGCGGCGUGGAUUAGGCAUGCAAGUCGCGCGACGCUAGAGCUUCGGCUCUAGACGGAGCGGCGAACGGGUGAGUAACACGUGAACAAUCUGUCCUUACAUUCGGGAUAAUUCACCGAAAGGUGUUGUAAUACCGGGGAGGGUGUGGCGGGGGCAUCUCCGUCAUAAGGAAGGUCCCGGAGUAAUCCGGGUCGUGCAAGGAGGAGUUCGCGGUCUAUCAGCUUGUUGGGGGGUAACGGCUCACCAAGGCGACGACGGAUAGCUGGUCUGAGAGGAUGGUCAGCCACAUUGGAACUGAGAUACUGUCCAGACUCCUACGGGAGGCUGCAGUCGAGAAUCUUGGGCAAUGCACGAAAGUGUGACCCAGCGACGCCGCGUGC